CCUAAAGGUAAUUGGGAAAGCUUUAUUCUAGAAGGAAACCAGAGAUACAGGGGGAAAGGUACUGCUCCCUGAUGUGACCUGUGCCUACUGCCUGAGCAAGGGAUUAGCCAGACAUUUUUUUUCUCCAUUGGGUGAUUUGUGCGUAACAAAAUGUCCGGCUCCUCACCGCAGCCAGCCUGGGGUCUCUGCCCCACCGAACCCCACACUUGGCUGACAGCCUCGCGGGGAACCUGGCCUCAGGCAUCCCGCUGGGUGCCUCGGCUGCCCCGGACAGAGAGCGGUGCAGCAGUUUGGGAGGGGAUUUAUAAUGCUGGGUGACUUCUGUGGCAAUAACCGGUAACUGGACUACGUCUUGGUCUUGCAAGUGUGUGCUUCUGUGGAAGUGUGGAGCAGGCGCUCUGCGAGCACCGAGCAGCCUUUUGCUCUGCUCGGGGAUAAUUCUCCUGCUGCUGAACAAUGCGCUGCAGGGAGCCACCAGGGCUCUUCUCAUCCGCCCCACUUGAAAGACCUCGCUCAGGGUACAAGGGAACGAGGUAUUGCUUGGGAAGUUACAAAGGUCCCCAGAGCCCUGGGCAACCCCAUUCAGCUAGUAUCUCAACUUCUGACAACCAAUAUCCACUGUCCUGCCCCAAAACUAAUUAAUUUUAUACAUGAGUGAAUUUAACACCAUCAUUUAGCUCUGUCUGCUAGAGGAGACUUUGAAGUACAAACUGAUUAUGCGGGGAACAAGCUGGGAGCUGGUUAAUAAGUUCCAACAAAGUGUAUACUUCUGGGAGGCCGUGUUAGAUUAAACGUAGGAUUUUAUUGUUGUUUUGUCUUGGACUUCAGCGUAAAGACAAGGCGGGGGCAGCGUUUGUCACCGCAGAGAAAAACCCAGUGACAGCACUGGGAAAUGUUUAAAAGCUACAAAAGUGUUAAUGAUCAGAACCCAACUCUGCCUCCUCUGAAAUUCUCAUUCCUCACCUCAUUUGUUUAGCUUUGCUUCACUUCAGGCAGACCGGUUGUUAACGGGGGAAAACAAAGCGAGCGAGCUCCACAGUCCUGCGUGUUGUGAAUGCCACUUCUUAAAUCCCAACACCCAUCACUACCGCUGCUAAAGGCCUUCCCUCUGGAUGACACCUCAGUAGCUGUUUUCUUUUGUUUCAGCAGUCUCGAGUGGGUGAGGAGGUAUUUAAUUGGAUUUAAAUGGCACUUCAUUACCUACUAGUCACUUGAUAAUGCUUCUGAGGGAAAACAGCAGGAAGUAUGCACUGAAAUUCUGCACAGGUUCCCUGAGAACGGGGUUGCCAGAGGGCAGCCAAGUCCCAGUGAUUGUAUUCUCCUGGGAUGACCUUGGUCUGGCCAGGGGUAAUGGCAGUUAUGGGAUUUGAAGCUGGUUGUGGCUGUGGAAAAUCUGCCCCUCACCAAAAGGCAAAGCACAGCUGCAAAAAGGUUUGUACAGUCAAAUAAAGACUAACCAGAGGAAAAUGUCAGCAAAGGCAUUAAAUGAACCAUUUCUGAGACUCUACUGACUUUAUUCUUCCCCUCAUUUCUUACUUUGCUAAUGGAGAAAGACAUCAGAAAAAGAAAUUUAAAGAUGCAAACCAUGAAUUAGACUGCCUGCCUGGUUUUCUUGAAAGCUCUGCUCUCCCCUCCAUCCUGGCGUUGUCAGAUAUUGGAUCUGUGUUUUGUGCAGAAGUGCCAUUGAAGCAUGCUUGCCCGAUCAGUCCAUGUCUCUGCUUCACCAUCAUAGUAAAAGCAGUGGUUAAUGGCAAAAAAACACCCGCUUGAAAGCGGUCGUUACAGCAUCUUAUCCAGGGCUUGGCUGCCUUCACGGGGCAAGGGAAUGGAAGUAAAUGAAUGGAAACUGAUCUACUGCCAUUCAUUUGUCAGUGGGAUGAGCAAAGAUUUCAAGCCAAGAUCUGUUUUCCAGCAUAAUGCAGUGUAGAAGGUGGCAGAGCAAGAAAAUCCAACAGAUGAGGAGCUUAAAGCAGCUCACGUCUGGCAGAUCAGAAAACCUUUCCUGCGCGGCUGCUGGAUGUCGAUGUGCAGGGGCAGAGCACGAGGCUGUGCAGCAGCUGGACGGGACGUCCUGUCCUUCCCUUCGGUCUGCUGCUGGCUGCAGGCUCGCCGCCUGUCCUCUGCUUUACUGCGAGCCAGCGUUAUCAGAUGUGACUCAGGGAGGGUGCUUUGGGAAGCAGGCAGUGCUGGCGGCGUGUCGCAAGGGCCACAGCCUGUCCUUUCCAGUGUGGCACUGUCCUCUAGUGGAAAAGGGGGCUGCCUGGCUCUUUGCUGUGCUGUCCAUGCAGAUGCAGCUCCAGGGCACGUUUUGGAGGCUGAUCAUGGAAAUGAGGCACGGUGUGGCUCCAGGAGGCCACCAAGCAGGCACGGUGUGGCCCCAAGCUCUGCGCUGCAGUGCCGUGGCAGAUACUUGGGAGGGCUCGGGGGCUGCUGCGGCCCCCAGAAAGCUUCUGAUGCAGCUCGUGGCUCCAGGAGGUCUCGGCAAUGAGGAACAGUAACAUUCAAACCCUGAGACUUUUGGUCCCAGUCCUAGGAGAGGUGACCCAUCUGUCAUCUGGCUUGAAGUGGAUGAACUGCAUUCCAGGCUAAGAAGAGAGCGCCUUUCAAGUUGAGCCUCCCUCAAUAAUCAACGUAUCGGUUUGUACUGAUAGAGAUCACAUACUGAAUUUCAUUACAGAGUGAUGCUUACCGUGGUCCUUGCAGCAUGCUGUCUACUUGGCAGCUGCUUUGCAUCCUGGAGUUGGCUGCAGUUCAAUGCUAGAAUUGCAAAUUGUGAAUUGCAGAGAAGAAAAUGGUUGGCUGUCAAUGGCAGCACAGCUGCAAAUGGCCCCGUGAUCCAAACUGAAGCUAUCUAUCCUCAGCGACUUUUGGAGUUCUACUUUCAUAUGUUUUCAUCCAAACAAGUCAGUGACCCUGAACCUACACAACCAUAUUACACAACAUCUCAUAGCUGCAGAGCUGCUGUGCACGGCCUGGUACAUCGUGUGACAGAUGAGAGCCCUGUGGCAGAGAAACAUGAUCCUAAAAGUACUGAAAGAUGAAGACCAGAAGACUCAGUAAGACAGCUCCCCAGUCCACAUUCAGGAGCAUCCUAACAUGCCGCAGAUGCCUAGAGAACAAGCUGCUAAAAGCAA